rnacentral:rRNA from 1 species
UGAAUACGAGAUGCUACGGCGUCAAGCAGUCUAUGUCAUACUUCCAAGAAAAGCUUGCACUGUCAUAAACAAAUAAUGCCUGCACCAUAACCGACACAGGUGGGUAGGUAGAGUAUACUAAGGGGCGCGAGAUAACUCUCUCUAAGGAACUCGGCAAAAUGACUCCGUAACUUCGGGAGAAGGAGUGCCUUAUUUUAUAAGGUUGCAAUAACAAGAUCCAAGCAACUGUUUACCAAAAACACAGGUCUCCGCUAAGUCGUAAGACGAUGUAUGGGGGCUGACGCCUGCCCAGUGCCAGAAGGUUAAAGAAGUUGGUUAGCAUCCGCGAAGCUGAUAACUGAAGCCCUGGUGAACGGCGGCCGUAACGAUAACGGUCCUAAGGUAGCGAAAUUCCUUGUCGGGUAAGUUCCGACCCGCACGAAAGGCGUAAUGAUUUGGAUACUGUCUCAGAGAGGGGCUCGGUGAAAUAGACUUGUCUGUGAAGAUGCGGACUACCUGCACCAGGACAGAAAGACCCUAUGAAGCUUUACUGUAACUUGAAAUUGAAAUUGGACUUUACUUGCGCAGUAUAGGUGGGAGGCGUUGAGAAUAUUCUUGCGGGAAUGUUGGAGCCAUCAGUGAGAUACCACUCUUGUAAUGUUAGAUUUCUAACUUUGUAUCAUUAUCUGGUCAAAGGACAGUUUCAGGCGGGCAGUUUGACUGGGGCGGUCGCCUCCCAAACGGUAACGGAGGCGCACAAAGGUUUCCUCUGAACGGGUAGAAAUCGUAUCUAGAGUGUAAAGGCAUAAGGAAGCUUGACUGUGAGACCUACAAGUCGAGCAGGGACGAAAGUCGGUCUUAGUGAUCUGACGGUGCUGAGUGGAAAGGCCGUCACUCAACGGAUAAAAGUUACUCUAGGAUAACAGGCUGAUCUCCCCCAAGAGUUCACAUCGACGGGGAGGUUUGGCACCUCGAUGUCGGCUCAUCGCAUCCUGGGGCGGUAGUACGUCCCAAGGGUUGGGCUGUUCGCCCAUGUAAGCGGUAGGCGAGCUGGGUUCAGAACGUCGUGAGACAGUUCGGUCCAUAUCCGGUGUAGGCGUUAGAAUAUUGAGAGGAGCCUUCUUUAGUACGAGAGGACCGAGAAGGACAUACCUCUGGUGUACCAGUUAUCGUGCCAACGGUAAACGCUGGGUAGCUAUGUAUGGAGUGGAAACCGCUGAAAGCAUCUAAGUGGGAAGCCCACCUUAAGAUAAG